rnacentral:rRNA from 1 species
UGGGGAAUUUUGGACAAUGGGGGCAACCCUGAUCCAGCAAUGCCGCGUGUGUGAAGAAGGCCUUCGGGUUGUAAAGCACUUUUGUCCGGGAAGAAAUCCCCUGCCCUAAUACGGCGGGGGGAUGACGGUACCGGAAGAAUAAGCACCGGCUAACUACGUGCCAGCAGCCGCGGUAAUACGUAGGGUGCGAGCGUUAAUCGGAAUUACUGGGCGUAAAGCGUGCGCAGGCGGUGAUGUAAGACCGAUGUGAAAUCCCCGGGCUCAACCUGGGAACUGCAUUGGUGACUGCAUUGCUCGAGUAUGGCAGAGGGGGGUGGAAUUCCACGUGUAGCAGUGAAAUGCGUAGAGAUGUGGAGGAACACCGAUGGCGAAGGCAGCCCCCUGGGCCAAUACUGACGCUCAUGCACGAAAGCGUGGGGAGCAAACAGGAUUAGAUACCCUGGUAGUCCACGCCCUAAACGAUGUCAACUGGUUGUCGGGCCUUCAUUGGCUUGGUAACGUAGCUAACGCGUGAAGUUGACCGCCUGGGGGAGUACGGUCGCAAGAUUAAAACUCAAAGGAAUUGACGGGGUCAUAGCUGUUUCCU